UAAGAGUCCGGUACAAACCACUUAAAAAUUUCGGUACCAUGUUUUCUUCUUUUUGUUUUUUCAGAAGUUCACCGAGGGGGCUAGUGAUUACCAUUUUGCGGUAGUUUUUACGCAUUGGUUUGCCCCUCUCACAAGGUUUUGACAGUUUUCGCUCUGAUUUCGCCGGCUUCGCCGCACUGUGAAACUUGUUUUUGUUUAUGUUUUUUAUUAUUAUUUUGCGCGGUAUGCACGUUUUCGUGUAAACAUUAUCAUCCUGCGCGAUUAAUUUUUUUUAUCCCAAACCCAUCGGUAAAUGGUUUACCUAAUUUGCGCGGCAAUUUCGUUGUCUUCCAUUCUGCUCUCAGCGCAGAAGCAAGAGUGAAAAUGGAUGCAACGAAACCGGAUCUCCGUGUCGACGUUCUUUGCCAAGUCGCGCCCGCGCGACGAGUGAUGUUGCUGGCACCGAAUUUGGAUGAGUACGAUGCGCUGGAUCCCGCCUUGUUCUAACGAAUCUGGGAAGGAUAUCUUGCAGUUCCCCUAUCAAGUUCCCGGUCGUUUUUCAUCCGUUGUUUUUGUGAAAUUGUUUAGCCAGAAAUAAGGUCAGCUGCCGCAAGCAUACCCGUUCAUCCUCCUCGGAAGACAGUUGCGUGGGCAGCGAGAAAGAGGCACUGCGACGUCCAAAGAUUGCAGCAGAAGACGGUGGCAGAAGGAAGCGACAUAAAGUUGAAACUGGAAGCGGAAAACCCAGAAAAGCUGGUGGAUGCACUCUUCGACGAUGGGUAUUUCGAGGAGUCCAAGAUUACCGAGCGGGAACAGCAGAAUCGGGAAUACAAAAAGAGCUUACUCCGGAGUAGCAUGAGAAGGCCAGAGAGUGGAAAGGAUCAUGCCGAAGAAGAAGGUGUUGUAGCAAAAUGAGGAAUUAUGCUUGAAGCCGGAUGCGUCGAGAGGUCCACUAAGUCGAUAGAAAAAUAUCUAGGUACUCCCGUCAACCAUGGUUUGCCAACAACGCUAUCUGGAGGAUCCUUGUCGAUGUGACGUCAACGCCUUGUAAUAGAAAAUGAUUAUAGCUUUCAUUUGCAUACAUAUAAAUAAUAAUACUUCGGUGGGUGGGGUGUUUCUGUGGUCUCUACAUAAUCCAUCCGAAAAUUCGCCAGGAUUCUGAACGAGACAACCAAUACAUCUAAGUGAAUCUACAAUAGUGGUCUGAAUUUGUUGCUCAGGAAAUUCACCAUGUCCUCCCAGAUUGCAAGGUGACGCAAAACGCUUGAAACUCAGUGGCGAUUUCUUAACCUCAAAUCUACCUGUUCAACAAAUGUAAAUACUUGAAGUUUCUCAACAAGUUGGCAUGCAGUUUGUAGAAAAUGACGAGAUUAGCCGUUUUCGUCCAUGUGCAAUUUGAUUCUGAUCCUGAAUCCUCCGCAAAUGCAAUUUUUAGGGUCGUUGAACAGGUAAAAAGUGAGGUUACGAGACGCCACUGUUGAAACUUAUGGAAUUAUUUUGUGGUCCUUAAGAAAUUCUUACAUUUGAUCUGAAUUUUUCGCUCAGAAGGUUCAUCAUGUCUUCCCAGGUUGCGAGGUGACGCGAUAUGUUCAGAACUGAAUGAGUUACUUCAGUAAUUUUUGAGAUAUUCUUCCAUUUGAUCUAAAUGCAUUGCUCACGUUAUCCUGAAAUGCAUGGUGAUGCAAAAUAUUGUCCUUCACUUCAAGAAGCUUUGUUCUAGUUAAAUUCAUCACGUCCUCCUAAAAUGCAUGGUGAUGCAAGACAUUAUGCUUCUCUCAAAGAAGCUUUGUUCUAGUUAGGUUUACCAAGUCCUCCUAAAACGCAUGGUGAUGCAAGACAACAUGCUUCACUCAAAGAAGCUUUGUUAUAAUUAGGUUUACCACGUCCUCCUAAAAUGCAUAGUGAUGCAAAACAACAUGCUUCACUCAAAGAAGCUUUAUUCUAGUCAGGUUCACCACGUCUUCCUAAACUGCAUGGUGAUGCACAUCAUGCUUCACUCGAAAAAGCUUUGUUUUAGUUAGGUUCACCACGUCCUCCUAAAAUGCAUGGUGAUGCAAGACAUCAUGCUUCACUCAAAGAAGCUUUGUUCUAGUUAGGUUCACCACGUCCUCCUAAAAUGCAUGGUGAUGCAAAACAUCAUGCUUCGCUCAAAGAAGCUUUAUUCUAAUUUGGUUCACCAAGUCCUCCUAAAAUGCAUGAUGAUACAAGACAUUAUGCUUCUCUGAAAGAAGCUUUGUUCUAGUUAAAUUCAUCACGUCCUCCUAAAAUGCAUGGUGAUGCAAGACAUUAUGCUUCUCUCAAAGAAGCUUUGUUCUAGUUAGGUUUACCAAGUCCUCCUAAAACGCAUGGUGAUGCAAGACAACAUGCUUCACUCAAAGAAGCUUUGUUAUAAUUAGGUUUACCACGUCCUCCUAAAAUGCAUGGUGAUGCAAAACAACAUGCUUCACUCAAAGAAGCUUUAUUCUAGUCAGGUUCACCACGUCUUCCUAAACUGCAUGGUGAUGCACAUCAUGCUUCACUCGAAAAAGCUUUGUUUUAGUUAGGUUCACCACGUCCUCCUAAAAUGCAUGGUGAUGCAAAACAACAUGCUUCACUCAAAGAAGCUUUGUUCUAGUUAGGUUCACCACGUCCUCCUAAAAUGCAUGGUGAUGCAAGACAACAUGCUUCACUCAAAGAAGCUUUAUUCUAAUUUGGUUCACCACGUCCUCCUAAAAUGCAUGGUGAUGCAAAACAUCAUGCUUCGCUCAAAGAAGCUUCAUUCUAAUUUGGUUCACCAAGUCCUCCUAAAAUGCAUGGUGAUGCAAGACAACAUGCUUCACUCAAAGAAGCUUUAUUCUAAUUUGGUUCACCACGUCCUCCUAAAAUGCAUGGUGAUGCAAAACAUCAUGCUUCGCUCAAAGAAGCUUCAUUCUAAUUUGGUUCACCAAGUCCUCCUAAAAUGCAUGGUGAUGCAAGACAACAUGCUUCACUCAAAGAAGCUUUAUUCUAAUUUGGUUCACCACGUCCUCUUAAAAUGCAUGGUGAUGCAAAACAUCAUGCUUCGCUCAAAGAAGCUUUAUUCUAAUUUGGUUCACCACGUCCUCCUAAAAUGCAUGGUGAUGCAAGACAACAUGCUUCACUCAAAGAAGCUUUAUUCUAAUUUGGUUCACCACGUCCUCCUAAAAUGCAUGAUGAUACAAGACAUUAUGCUUCUCUGAAAGAAGCUUUGUUCUAGUUAGGUUUACCAAGUCCUCCUAAAAUGCAUGGUGAUACGAGACAACAUGCUUCACUCAAAGAAGCUUUGUUAUAAUUAGGUUCACCACGUGCUCCUAAAAUGCAUAGCGAUGCAUUUUAUUGUACUUCACUCAAAGAAGGUUUGUUCUAGUUAUAUUCACCACCAGAGAUGGCAUAGAUACACUGAUAAACAGCUCUGCGUACACAUCUUCAAUAAAAUGUGCGCCGCUCUCUUUUGCUACAAAUGUGGACCGGCAACAAACACACAUCGCUCAGCCGUAAAACUUUGCGUGAGUGUGCAAAAUGUGUUAGUUGCCACACGAGCUGCGCGAGCCGUCGCAGAGCUCAAACUUCUUCUGCGUGAGCUUCGCUCAUUUCUAGGAAUGUGCUACACAGCUGCGCUGUCUGAGCUGCAAGUUGUAGGUUCUCGGCAGUACAGAGUAGCGCAGCGCUGCGAUGUGAGCUGUGUGUUGGACUGUACUUUCUCUUGCUUUCCUGCGCUCACCGUCCUGCGCGAUGCGACAACGAUGCCGAGCGCAUACAGUCGGACAACGCAGAAGAUAAUGCUUUACACGCACUCUUUCUCAUCAUGCAGGCUGUGUGUAAUGUUUAUUUUUUUAUCUUCUCACUUAGUGCUCUGAGGAGCGUGCCAUCUCUGUUCACCACGUCCUCUUAAAAUGCAUGGUGAUGCAAAAUAUUGUCCUUCACUUCAAGAAGUUUUGUUCUAGUUAGGUUCACCACGUCCUCAUAAAAUGCAUGGUGAUGCAAAACAACAUGCUUCAUUCAAAGAAGCUUUAUUCUAGUCAGGUUCACCACGUCUUCCUAAACUGCAUGGUCAUGCACAUCAUGCUUCACUCGAAAAAGCUUUGUUUUAGUUAGGUUCACCACGUCCUCCUAAAAUGCAUGGUGAUGCAAGACAUCAUGCUUCACUCAAAGAAGCUUUGUUCUAGUUAGGUUCACCACGUCCUCCUAAAAUGCAUGGUGAUGCAAGAAAUUAAUUAUGCUUCACUCAAAAAAGUUUUAUUCUAAUUUGGUUCUCCACGUCCUCCUAAAAUGCAUGGUGACAAAAGACAUCAUGCUUCAUUGCUUGCAUUGCUGGCUGAAGUUGUUCCAGAGAAAGGUCCAAGACCAUUCGUUUAGUUAGGUUCACCACGUCCUCUUAAAAAGCAUGGUGAUGCAAAUAAACAAGUGCACUGCUAGAGUUGUCCAGAGAUAUCCUAGACAAUUUGUUCUUAUUAGGCUUAACACUACCUCCAAAUCGCAUGGUGAUGUAAAUGAACAAAUUCAUCACUGCUAGAGUCGUUCCAGAGAGAGGCAUGGUGAUGAAAAAAAAUACAAGUUCACUUUUCGAGUUGCUGCAGAGGUCAAAGAUGAAUUGUUCUAAUUGUGUUUGCCACUUCUUCCAAAUUUCAUGGUGAUGCAAUCAUACAAGUUACUUCUGCAGUUGUUACAGAGAAAGGUCCAAUACGAUUAGAUCUAGUAAGGUUCACCACGUCCUCUUAAAUUGCAUAGUGAGGCAAAAAACAAGUUCACAGCUGGAGUUGCUUUAGAGAAAGAUCCAAAUCGAUUUGUUCUAAUUAGGCUCACCACUUCCUCGAAAUUGCAUGAUGAUGUAAAAAUACAAAUUCACCGCUGCUAGAGUUGUUCCAGAGAGGUCCAAAGCGAUUGUUUCAGAGUAAGGUCCUCAAAAUUGCAUAGUAAUGCAAAAAUACAAGUUCACUUCUGGAGUUGUUCCAACGUCAAAAACGAUUUGUCUUAAUUUUCUCCACUUCUUCCCAAUUUGCAUAGAGCAUCCCGAUGUUUGGGUCUCCAGUUAGCCUAGUGGUUAAGGCUAUGGAUCGCCAAUCCGGAGACGGCGGGUUCGAUUCCCGUUCCGGUCGGGAAAAUUUUCUCGACUCCCUGGGCAUAGAGUAUCAUUUUACUUGUCUCACAAUAUACAUAUUCAUUCAUGCAAUUGCAGGCAAAGAAUGCCCUUCAAUUAAUAACUGUGGAAGUGCUCAAAGAACACUAAGUUGAAGCGAGGCAGGCCAAGUCCCAGUGCGGACGUAGAGCCAUAAAGAAGAAGAAGAAGAUCCCGAUGUUCGAGUUGAGCUUCUUCACGUUACCUCCACCCGUAGAAAGAGCACAAGCAGCCUUUAUUUCAAGUAAAGUAGAGUACCUGACAACAUUUAUCAAUAACAAAAUAUACAUACAUACUAA